rnacentral:tRNA from 1 species
AUCCCUUCUUCUUAUUUCCCUGGGAUUGUAGUUCAAUUGGUCAGAGCACCGCCCUGUCAAGGCGGAAGCUGCGG